rnacentral:rRNA from 1 species
GAUGAACGCUAGCGGCAGGCUUAACACAUGCAAGUCGAGGGGCAGCACGGGUAGCAAUACCUGGUGGCGACCGGCGCAAGGGUGCGUAACGCGUGAGCAACAUGCCCUAUACAGGGGGAUAAUCCAGGGAAACUUGGUCUAAUAUCCCAUAGCAUUUAGAGGAGGCAUCUUCACUAAAUUAAAGCUUCGGUGGUAUAGGAUUGGCUCGCGUGACAUUAGCUAGAUGGUGAGGUAACGGCCCACCAUGGCUAUGAUGUCUAGGGGUUCUGAGAGGAAGACCCCCCACACUGGGACUGAGACACGGCCCAGACUCCUACGGGAGGCAGCAGUGAGGAAUAUUGGACAAUGGAUGGAAAUCUGAUCCAGCCAUGCCGCGUGCAGGAAGACGGCCCUAUGGGUUGUAAACUGCUUUUGUACGGAACGAAACGGUGAGCUCUAAUAAAGCUUGCUAAUGACGGUACCGUAAGAAUAAGCACCGGCUAACUACGUG